AGGUGGCGGCAGGGGAUGGAGGCUAUGGAUGGAGGUGGCGGCAGGGGAUGGAGGCUAUGGAUGGAGGUGACGGCAGGAGGUAGGAUGGAGGGAGGACAUAGGAUGAUGGAGGCUGCAGACACAUCCGCAGGACACAGGGAGGGGUCCCCGGCACAGCCCGCACAGCCCCCGGGUAAUUCCCCCACCAUCCCCGCUUACUUUCUCCCACCACCGCCUUCAGCCCGCUCGGUGCCAUCCUGUCCGGUACAAGCGCUAGAUCCGAUCCGAGAGAGAGAAGCGACUGCAGGGGAGGAGAGAGCUGGAGAACAUAAUCCUGUCCGGCUGCAGCAUCAUUUUUGUCCCGGCUGAAGCACAGGAAGUAAGGGCGGGAUUAGCACUCCUCUGUGCUCACUUCUGUCCAAUGAGAUUCCUGUCUGAAAGCAGAGAGGAGGGGUCACAGAGCAGUGAUUGGAUGAAGAGACAAAGCACAGCACAGCAGACUCAAGGAGGAAGUGAAUGCAUGCAAACUCUCCGGUUGUGGACAUUCAAUUAUUCUAUACCUCCCUAUCGCUCUUGGGAAGGGUGGCGGAAGGACAAGCAUUACAGAGGAGCCCUCACCCUGGCGUCACGAAUAGAAAGGGUUAACCAGACACCCUUUAGUCACCGCACAGCUACACUCCCUACACCCAACUCCCCCAGGCUUUUACCACCCAGGACUUGCGGACCUCACCAUCUAUCCUCAGGUGACGCUUUGUUGGGACUUGUUCCAGGCUGGCAACUAUACUUUAUUCUUUUCACAUCCAAUAUAUCGGAAUCCCAUAUUAUUUACGGGACUUUAGACCAUUUCCGGACUACCAAUGCCGGAUUACCGAAAGCGACAUCAAUUUUAUAUUUUUCUAUUUAAUGCUAGAUAUCGGUGUUUGUUCUUAUUAUAUCAGUAAAUGUUAUAAUUAUAUUUGUUUUCCUCUGCACAAGGGCCCUGUGUUAUGAGGUCAAAUUGCAUUAUUUGAUAUUUUGUAUUAAAAUAAAACAUUUAUAAUUUUUAUCAUAAAUUGUGUCUUA